GUGGCUGUGGCUCAGGGGUCGAGCGCUUGCCUGGCAUGCAUGAGGUGCUGGGUUCGAUCUUCAGCACCACA
rnacentral:tRNA from 1 species